rnacentral:rRNA from 1 species
GAUGAACGCUGGCGGCGUGCCUAAUACAUGCAAGUCGAGCGAACAGACGAGGAGCUUGCUCGGCUGACGUUAGCGGCGGACGGGUGAGUAACACGUGGAUAACCUACCUAAAAGACUGGGAUAACUUCGGGAAAGCGGAGCUAAUAGGGGAGAAUAUCUUGAACCGCAUGGUUCAAUAGUGAAAGACGGUGUUGCGGGCAGUAAUAGAGGGAUCCGCGCCGGAUUAGCUAGUUGGUGAGGUAACGGCUUAUCAAGGCAAGGAGGCGUGGCCGACCUGAGAGGGUGAUCGGCCACACUAGAACUGAGCCACGGUCCAGACUCCUACGGGAGGCAGCAGUCGCGAAUCUUCCGCAAUGGGCGAAAGCUUGACGGAGCAACGCCGCGUGAGUGAUGACGGUCUUCCGAUCGUAAAACUCUGUUAUUAGGGAAGAACAACUGUGUCAGUAACUAUGCCCUUCUUGACGGUACCUAAUCAGAAAGCCACGGCUAACUACGUG